GACGUAGGAGGGGAACCCCGGAAACUGGGGAUAAUACCCCAUAGAUUAGGGGCGCUGGAAUGCCCCCUAGUUCAAAGGUCCGCCGCCUCAGGAUGGGUCUGCGGCCGAUUAGGUUGUUGUUGGGGUAACGGCCCAACAAGCCAUUGAUCGGUACGGGUUGUGGGAGCAAGAGCCCGGAGAUGGAUUCUGAGACACGAAUCCAGGCCCUACGGGGCGCAGCAGGCGCGAAAACUUUACAAUGCGAGAAAUCGUGAUAAGGGAACCCCGAGUGCCCGUAAAUUCGGGCUGUCCGCCAGUGCAAAAAACUGGUGAAGAAAGAGCCGGGCAAGACUGGUGCCAGCCGCCGCGGUAAUACCGGCGGCUCGAGUGGUGGCCACUAUUACUGGGCUUAAAGCGUCCGUAGCUUGGUUGUUAAGUCUCCUGGGAAAUCCAUCGGCUCAACCGAUGGGCGUUCAGGAGAUACUGGCAACCUAGGGACCGGGAGAGGUGAGAGGUACUCCAGGGGUAGGAGUGAAAUCCUGUAAUCCUUGGGGGACCACCUGUGGCGAAGGCGUCUCACUAGAACGGCUCCGACAGUGAGGGACGAAAGCUGGGGGAGCAAACCGGAUUAGAUACCCGGGUAGUCCCAGCCGUAAACGAUGCGCGUUAGGUGUAUCGGUGACCACGAGUCGCCGAGGUGCCGAAGGGAAACCGUGAAACGUGCCGCCUGGGAAGUACGGUCGCAAGGCUGAAACUUAAAGGAAUUGGCGGGGGAGCAC
rnacentral:rRNA from 1 species